rnacentral:lncRNA from 1 species
AUGUGUGUGGCUGGGCGUGGGAAGGGGUGGCGGGAGCGCUGGGGGUGCGGGCUGCAGGGCAGCUGGAGGGGGCUGGCGCCUCGCACGGGUGCUCCCGGGUGUCUUGGCACGUGGCCGAACGCCUCCAGCCUGGGUCCUAUCCGUAAACCCCUUUUUCCUCCCGCGCUUCUCCGGGGGGCUUGGACCCCCCGUCGCGAGCGCAGCUCCGCUGCCGGUGCGAUGCAUCUCCUUGUUGCAUCGGCAUCUCGCCGCGCUGCCUCCGGGGCAAUGUCGCCCGGCCCUGUUUUUCCGCGUGCUGCUCUUCAAUUAUUCACUUCUCUUGUUUGCUUCCUCCCGGCCGGAGCACUCGGCUCCGUAACCCCGCACCAGGAUAACGCGCGGAGCGCCGCAGGGCCGAGGGCGGUGGAGCUGCCCCGGYGGCGGCAGCAGCUCUCGGGAACCCGCUUCACCCGGCCCGGCUUCGGCGACGGCGGUGGGUUCCCACGGCCCGUAUCCGUUCCUUGCCGCAGACUCCGAGGACGCACGAGCGGCCGGCGCCGCCGCCGCGGUGCUGGGACGAGCGCCGUGCUGCUUGUAGGGUUUCUCCGCGCGCGGGACGAGGGGGCUCCGGCGCGUGGCCGUGCUCGGGCGCGCUGGCGGCACGUGCGUCCCCCGGGCUGGCCGGGUCCCUUCCACCGCGCAGGAGGGAGCAGUUCCCGUGCGGGCUGGGCACCCGCUUGUUACCCCCCCGCUGCCGCUGCCAGGCUCCUCCGCUUGCGCCGUUCUAGGAAGCAAGACUUUCAUUUCUGCUUUUCUCAGAAAACACGUGAGCCGCAGCCCCGGUCGGGGGGGGGGGUGGGGGGGGGAAUCUCCCUCCGCGCCCCACCCUGGCACUCGCUCCCGACCCCUUUCCGGGUCCCGGCGGCUCGGUGCCGGCCCCGCUUUCCCGGGCUCCCGAGUGGAGGGGAGGGCGAGCCAGCCCGAUUGCAGCGCGGAUGCCGCUCGCCGUCGCCCCGGGGAGCUGCCCGCAGCUGGCCCAGGCUGGGCGCACGGCGUGGGCCGGCCGCUGGGUGCUCGGGGUAA